AGAUAGGAAUUCCACGUGUAGCGGUGAAAUGCGUAGAGAUGUGGAGGAACACCAGUGGCGAAGGCGACUCUCUGGUCUGUAACUGACGCUGAGGAGCGAAAGCGUGGGGAGCGAACAGGAUUAGAUACCCUGGUAGUCCACGCCGUAAACGAUGAGUGCUAAGUGUUAGGGGGUUUCCGCCCCUUAGUGCUGCAGCUAACGCAUUAAGCACUCCGCCUGGGGAGUACGGUCGCAAGACUGAAACUCAAAGGAAUUGACGGGGGCCCGCACAAGCGGUGGAGCAUGUGGUUUAAUUCGAAGCAACGCGAAGAACCUUACCAGGUCUUGACAUCCUCUGACAACCCUAGAGAUAGGGCUUUCCCUUCGGGGACAGAGUGACAGGUGGUGCAUGGUUGUCGUCAGCUCGUGUCGUGAGAUGUUGGGUUAAGUCCCGCAACGAGCGCAACCCUUGAUCUUAGUUGCCAGCAUUCAGUUGGGCACUCUAAGGUGACUGCCGGUGACAAACCGGAGGAAGGUGGGGAUGACGUCAAAUCAUCAUGCCCCUUAUGACCUGGGCUACACACGUGCUACAAUGGACAGAACAAAGGGCUGCAAGACCGCAAGGUUUAGCCAAUCCCAUAAAUCUGUUCUCAGUUCGGAUCGCAGUCUGCAACUCGACUGCGUGAAGCUGGAAUCGCUAGUAAUCGCGAUCAGCAUGCGGGUGAAUACGUUCCCGGGCCUUGUACACACCGCCCGUCACACCACGAGAAGUUUGCAACACCCGAAGUCGGUGAGGUAACCUUUAUGGAGCCAGCGCGAAGGUGGGGCA
rnacentral:rRNA from 2 species